rnacentral:rRNA from 1 species
UGGGGAAUAUUGCACAAUGGGGGAAACCCUGAUGCAGCGACGCCGCGUGAGCGAAGAAGUAUUUCGGUAUGUAAAGCUCUAUCAGCAGGGGAAGAUAAUGACGGUACCUGACUAAGAAGCCCCGGCUAACUACGUGCC